GAAAAACAUACGGAAGAUAGACAAACGGACCUAUAUUUGGGUGUCUUGAGCCAAGACCACGAGCAUCAUCAAGUCAAAUGAGAUGAGAUUAAUGUGAUAUAUCAACCUUCAGUGCAAUCAAUGCCAAACGCACAGUAGAUAAAUAUCUCAUUUUAAGCGUAUGAAAGUUAACUGACAGAUUGCAAUGAUGGUCGGUGUCUGUUCUCGGUAUUAUUGAAACACCCACACUUUUGGUCUUUUAAGCCGCAAAAAGUAUGAUGACAUCGUUUCUACGGAAAUGCCUCCGAGUCGUCCAUGUCACGGAGCCUCGCCACUCAACGUACUGCGCAUGCUCUCAUCUCGGCCAAUCACCUUCCAACAACCGUUUCAACCCGUGACUGUAUGAAAACCUAAAGAAUGACCAAAGUCGAACUGUAUAAGGAGUACACCAUUCAGCAACUUGAUGCGAGAGCUUUUACACCGACUUGCUAUCAACUGGUAAUUACAUGACAAUUUGAGAGUUGUUUUGGGGGCAAAAAGGUGCGCUUCUUGACUCGGGAUGAAGUUCUUCAUAGUGUCCCUGUUGUUGGUGCUAUGCGCUGAUGUUCUGGUAGUUUCAGCAGCCUUGCCUUACGUCCAGUACUGCCACACCGACAUGGACUGUAGGUGGAACAUGUUUGGUCGUCGUUACUGCCUGGGCUGGGAGUGUGAGCGGUACUACCAGAUGACUCCUUGUACUAAGGACUCGGAUUGUAAAGGCCGACGAGGCGGGAACAAGGUCUGCAGGAAUAUGUACUGCAGGAGCACUCGGUCAAGACGGUGAAAACUGGAAAUGGUGGAACUUGGAACGUUCGUCAAACAUUAACAAUGAUUGGCGCCCGUACGACAACAGCUCUAUACGGUAACACGACAUCCAGCCAACCACACCACGCCCUUUCAUUGACCUCUAUUCCUACGCCCGAUCUAUAUUUAGCAACUAUGGUUGGUGAUUUUUUUUUUUUUGUCUCCAAAACAUAUUAUGCCUCUGAGUUUAAAAAAACAACAACAUAAGAUUACCUUUAAUAUUCAACUCCAUGCCUUGGGAAUAAUAGACGAGUACUCAAGCGAAUGAUUGGAGGGGGGAGACAUAAUUGCAAUUUAUCGAGUGAUCUUUGGCAGAUGUGUGCAUAUAUUCUUGCGAGGAUCUUAUUUCGCGAAUGUAAGUUAUUGAGUAUUUUGAUCUGGGUCUGUAGUAGAUUUUCUUUUUAAUGUCUUUUUUGUUGAUAUAGGCUUGGAUUGUUCGGACCACGCUAUGAGUCCAUGAUGCACGAUGUAUUGAUAUAAUAAUGUAAAUAAUAGUCACAUCUCUUGGUGUUCGUUUCAUGUUUUUUAAACACUAAAAAAAACCUAUUAGGACUGUUUUGUCACUGGAAUCCGAUCUAUUAAUUAUUCAAUUAUACAAAAAACUGUAUGGAAGUAGCAUUCAUGGUAAAUACGACGCCGGUUAUUCUUCAGCACGAACUCGAAUGUUAGUGAAAAUGCCACGAAAUACUUAACACAAUCUAUAUGCAUACCUGAGGCUAAAACACAUCCGUCCACUUACGAGCGGUUAGUGUGUGUUUUAGUCUUUAAGCUAUCUGGAGGGGUAUCUUUUCAGUUUCACCGCACAAAAGAAAACGCCUUUGGACGUUAAAGUGAUAAAGAUGAUGUUGCUGGAUUUGAGGUCAUAAUUAGUAAGCAAUCGAUAUUGUGGAAACUUGCUAUAUUUUCUGCUUUGUAAUGAGUUAUAUGAGUUAGCUGUUGUACGAAAUAAGAAUAUCCUUGUCUAUUGUUAAUAAACAGGUUUAUUUUCGAAUUAAUGCAUCUAUAAAUAAUUGAUAUAAAACAAAACAAUUAAAAAUUCCGGUGAAAUUCA